GAGAAAUAUGAAAAUUUAGACUUUAAAGAGCUGGCAACCUUGACAGAAGGAUAUACUGGAAGUGAUCUUAAGAAUUUGUGCAUCACUGCGGCUUAUCGACCUGUUAGGGAGCUAAUAUAGUAAGAGAGAAUGAAGGAAAUGGAAAACAAGAAAAGAGAAGCAGAAGGCCAAAGCUCAGAAGAUGCUUCAAACAAUAAAGAUAAGGAAGACCAAGAAAUUACCUUGAGGCCUUUAAACAUGGAAGAUAUGAGACAAGCUAAGAGUCAAGUGGCUGCAAGUUUUGCAUAAGAAGGAUCUGUAAUGAAUGAGUUGAAGCAGUGGAAUGAUCUCUAUGUAGAAGGUGGUUCAAGGAAGAAACAACAACUCACUUACUUCCUUUAGAUUGUGGAACGCUACUUUUAUUUUGGAUUUGUUCAACAUUCAUCUCAACGAUGCAUUUAACUAAGGAGGAAGUCCUUCACUAGAGAUGUUGAACUCAAAGCAUGCCCAAAUGUGAAAGAGAUGUUAUGAUUCCCAAAAAAGCAAAAGUAUUGGCACACCUAUUCUGUAAAGGAUGUGUAGAUCAUCAUGGAUUAU